UUCUGGUGUGAGGCAGAUACAACUUACAUCCAUGUGAAAUAAGUAACAGAUGGAAAUACACCAACUCAAACCGUUUUGUUGUUCUGAUGUGUGAACAACAGCUUCACGAAGGGAAAAUUACAUCCUAUUUAAAUUCUGAUAUGGUAAUAAACAAUGCUGGACGGCACCAAUUCUCAUAACGCAACAUGAUACUAUGAUUUUAGAAACUCUGAAUGGCCUGCAGACAUUGGUCGCAACAGGUACAACGCAAAUAUUACAAAGUUUUACUGACCUGGCAUUUCUUACAGAAACAUGCACAAAGAAAAUGUGGUUCGCUGUCACUUAGGAUAUUGUGAAUAUGUUCUCCAAAUCUGAUUUACACAUACGAAACUUUGUAACUUUUGAAUUUAAUCGUGAAUUGCUUUCAAAAAAAUUGGACUUAUAAACUACUUACAUACCAUUCUUCUAAUGCAAUAUGAGCUUGCAUCGCCCACAUCCAAGAUCAUGUCCAAAAAAUACUUGGGGAACUCUCGUCAUGCUAGUUCUAGGUUGUAGCCACAUUUGCACCGGUAGUAGCUAAAAACAUAUUGUACUUCAGAACAAGUGUACAUGGGGUAAACUACAUUUUUCACAGAGUAAAAAAGCAUUUCUAGGUAUGUUGAUUCAGAACGGGCAGCAGUUU
rnacentral:lncRNA from 1 species